CCUACGGGGUGCAGCAGUGGGGAAUAUUGCGCAAUGGGCGAAAGCCUGACGCAGCGACGCCGCGUGAGGGAUGAAGGUCUUCGGAUCGUAAACCUCUGUCAGCAGGGAAGCACGGUCACUGUGCUAAUCAGCAGUGAAUUGACGGUACCUGCAAAGGAAGCCCCGGCUAACUCCGUGCCCGCAGCCGCGGUAAUACGGAGGGUGCGAGCGGUAAUCGGUAUGACUGGGCGUAAAGCGCUCGUAGGCGGUAUGUCAAGUCAAGGGUGAAGUCCCCGCGCCCAACGUGGGAACGGCCUUUGAAACUGGCAGACUGGAGUGUGUGAGAGGUGAGUGGAAUUCGAGGUGUAGGAGUGAAAUCCGUAGAUAUCGGGAGGAACAUCAGUGGCGAAGGCGACUAUCUGGCACAUAACUGACGCUGAGGAGCGAAAGCGUGGGUAGCAAACAGGAUUAGAUACCCGAGUAGUC
rnacentral:rRNA from 1 species